UAAGUGAAUAGUGAAAUCCGGGGCUCAACCUCACGGGCUAUUAUUCAAACUGGCAAACUCGAGAAUGGUAGAGGUAACUGGAAUUUCUUGUGUAGGAGUGAAAUCCGUAGAUAUAAGAAGGAACACCAAUGGCGUAGGCAGGUUACUGGACCAUUUCUGACACUGAGGCACGAAAGCGUGGGGAGCGAACGGGAUUAGAUACCCCGGUAGUCCACGCCGUAAACGAUGGAUACUA
rnacentral:rRNA from 1 species